AUACUUACCUGGUGUCGGGGCUACCGUGAUCAACUAGGCGGUGCCCCCAGGGAGAGGCGUGGGCAUUGCACUGCGCUCAUGCUGACCCCUGCCACUACCCCAAACUGGGGCAGAUGGGGCAUGCAAUUUUUGGUAGUGGGGGACUGCGUUCGCGCUAUCCCCCC
rnacentral:snRNA from 1 species